AACGUAGGACACAAGCGUUAUCCGGAAUUACUGGGCGUAAAGGGAGUGCAGGCGGUUGCGUAAGUUAGGCGUGAAAGACUUCGGCUAAACCGGGGGAGGUCGUCUGAUACUGCGUAACUAGAGUAUGGUAGAGGCGUGUAGAAUUCCGGGUGUAGUGGUGAAAUGCGUAGAGAUCCGGAGGAAUACCAGUGGCGAAGGCGGCACGCUGGGCCAUAACUGACGCUAAGACGCGAAAGCUAGGGGAGCAAACGGG
rnacentral:rRNA from 1 species